rnacentral:rRNA from 1 species
AAAAACAUCGCCUCUUGCAAAACUGAGGAAUAAGAGGUCCCGCCUGCCCUGUGACUAUAUGUUUAACGGCCGCGGUAUUUUGACCGUGCGAAGGUAGCGCAAUCACUUGUCUUUUAAAUGGAGACCUGUAUGAAUGGCAUAACGAGGGCUUAGCUGUCUCCUUUUUCAAGUCAAUGAAAUUGAUCUCCCCGUGCAGAAGCGGGGAUAACACCAUAAGACGAGAAGACCCUAUGGAGCUUUAGACACCAAGGCAGAUCAUGUUAAACACCCCCUCACAAAGGACUAAACCAGAUGAACCCUGCCCUAAUGUCUUUGGUUGGGGCGACCGCGGGGAAACAAAAAACCCCCACGUGGAAUGGGAAUACUCCUUCCUACAACUAAGAGCUCCCGCUCUAAUGACCAGAACUUCUGACCAAUCAGAUCCGGCAACGCCGAUCAACGAACCGAGUUACCCUAGGGAUAACAGCGCAAUCCCCUUUUAGAGCCCAUAUCGACAAGGGGGUUUACGACCUCGAUGUUGGAUCAGGACAUCCUAAUGGUGCAGCCGCUAUUAAGGGUUCGUUUGUUCAACGAUUAAAGUCCUACGUGAUCUG